AUGUUAAACCGGCACAACGCUUGAGCAAGGUCGUGGCCGAUUUAAUUUGUUGGAAUGAGAAAUAAAGCAAAAACGUUACCUUUGAUUUGACUCAGGAACACAAUGGCUGGAACACGUCCUCUUGGAUUCACUCUCGGAAAACAAAAUGUGCAGCACAGGACAUGGAUUAACGCAUCGAAGGAAUGGUGUUGCAGAUGCAGCCAGGAUGGCCGGCAAUAUGCGCUAUCCACAAUGCCCAGUGGAAGGUGAAUUCUUUGAAGCAGAACCAGCCACCAUACGACCAAAGAAAAAAGAUCGGAAGAGCCGAAAGGGAAAAAGGGGGUGUCGGUGUUCGUGUGUGUGUUUUUGCUGUUGUUACUGGAAGCUCCUUUGGUUGCUUUGUGCAAAAAUUUUGUAGCUGCUGCUGCAAUGUACGGCUGCUUCAGAUAGGCUCAAAUUGGAAUCCUCGGAUUGGCUCAAAAAGCUGGGCGCUGGCAAGUGGAAAAUGUUACGGCGUUGAAGGACCAGUAUGUUAAACCGGCACAACGCUUGAGCAAGGUCGUGGCCGAUUUAAUUUGUUGGAAUGAGAAAUAAAGCAAAAACGUUACCUUUGAUUUGACUCAGGAACACAAUGGCUGGAACACGUCCUCUUGGAUUCACUCUCGGAAAACAAGUAAGUGACCGGUUGAAAUUUCUUCUUACUGUUGCCUGUCGAACUGUAUAUUUACCGAAGGGACAUUUUAGCAUAAGUAACAUAGUGGUAAACAGUUCGACAGUUGACAUAAUAAUGAAGUUAUGUUAAGCAUUAGGGUGGGUCGAAAAUGCUGCGACAAAUUUAGGCCGUUGGCCUAAACA